rnacentral:lncRNA from 1 species
UCAUCAUUCACACAAUUCAAUCAAAUUUCAUUGGUUUAACAACAACAUUUUCAUCAUUCCCACAAUUCAAUCAAACUCCACGGGUUUAAUAGCAGCGUUUUCAUCAUUCACUCAAUUCAAUAAAAUUUUAAUGGUUUUAAGAUCAACAAUUUAUCAUUCCCACAAUUCAAUCAAUUUUCACGGGUUUAACAGUAAGAUUUUCAUCAUUCACAAAUUUCAAUCAAGUUUCAUGGGUUUAACAACAACAUUUUCAUAAUUCACACAAUUCAUUCAAAUUACAUGGAUUGAAUAGCAACAUUUUCGUCAUUCCCACAAUUCAAUCAAAUAUCAUGGGUUUAACAGUAACAUUUUCAUCAUUCCUACAAUUCAAUCGAAUUUCAUGGGUUAUCAAUAAUAUUUUCAUCAUUCACAAAAUUCUAUCAAAUUUCAUGGGUUUAAAAAUUAAAUCUUCAUCAUUCACACAAUUCAAUUCAAUUUCAAUGGUUUAAUAACAACAUUUUCAUCAUUCCCAUAAUUCAAUCGAACUCAAUGGGUUUAAUAGCAGCGUUUUCGUCAUUCACUCAAUUCAAUCAAAUUUUAAUGGUUUUAAGAGCAACAAUUUCAUCAUUCCCACAAUUCAAUCAAAUUUUAUGGGUUUAACAAUAACAUUUUCUUUAUUCACACAAUUCAAUCAAAUUUCAUGGGUUUAACAUCAACAUUUUCAUCAUUCACACAAUUCAAUCAAAUUUCAUGGGUUUAACAACAACAUUUUCAUCAUUCACACAAUUCAAUCAAAUUUCAUGGGUUUAACAACAACAUUUUCAUCAUUCACACAAUUCAAUCAAAUUUCAUGGGUUUAACAACAACAUUUUCAUCAUUCACACAAUUCAAUCAAAUUUCAUGGGUUUAACAACAACAUUUUCAUCAUUCACACAAUUCAAUCAAAUUUCAUGGGUUUAACAACAACAUUUUCAUCAUUCACACAAUUCAAUCAAAUUUCAUGGGUUUAACAACAACAUUUUCAUCAUUCACACAAUUCAAUCAAAUUUCAUGGGUUUAACAACAACAUUUUCAUCAUUCACACAAUUCAAUCAAAUUUCAUGGGUUUAACAACAACAUUUUCAUCAUUCACACAAUUCAAUCAAAUUUCAUGGGUUUAACAACAACAUUUUCAUCAUUCACACAAUUCAAUCAAAUUUCAUGGGUUUAACAACAACAUUUUCAUCAUUCACACAAUUCAAUCAAAUUUCAUGGGUUUAACAACAACAUUUUCAUCAUUCACACAAUUCAAUCAAAUUUCAUGGGUUUAACAACAACAUUUUCAUCAUUCACACAAUUCAAUCAAAUUUCAUGGGUUUAACAACAACAUUUUCAUCAUUCACACAAUUCAAUCAAAUUCCAUGGGUUUAACAACAACAUUUUCAUCAUUCACACAAUUCAAUCAAAUUUCAUGAAUUUAACAACAACAACAUUUUCAUCAUUCACACAAUUCAAUCAAAUUUCAUGGGUUUAACAACAACAUUUUCAUCAUUCACACAAUUCAAUCAAAUUUCAUGGGUUUAACAACAACAUUUUCAUCAUUCACACAAUUCAAUCAAAUUUCAUGGGUUUAACAACAACAUUUUCAUCAUUCACACAAUUCAAUCAAAUUUCAUGGGUUUAACAACAACAUUUUCAUCAUUCACACAAUUCAAUCAAAUUUCAUGGGUUUAACAACAACAUUUUCAUCAUUCACACAAUUCAAUCAAAUUUCAUGGGUUUAACAACAACAUUUUCAUCAUUCACACAAUUCAAUCAAAUUUCAUGGGUUUAACAACAACAUUUUCAUCAUUCACACAAUUCAAUCAAAUUUCAUGGGUUUAACAACAACAUUUUCAUCAUUCACACAAUUCAAUCAAAUUUCAUGGGUUUAACAACAACAUUUUCAUCAUUCACACAAUUCAAUCAAAUUUCAUGGGUUUAACAACAACAUUUUCAUCAUUCACACAAUUCAAUCAAAUUUCAUGGGUUUAACAACAACAUUUUCAUCAUUCACACAAUUCAAUCAAAUUUCAUGGGUUUAACAACAACAUUUUCAUCAUUCACACAAUUCAAUCAAAUUUCAUGGGUUUAACAACAACAUUUUCAUCAUUCACACAAUUCAAUCAAAUUUCAUGGGUUUAACAACAACAUUUUCAUCAUUCACACAAUUCAAUCAAAUUUCAUGGGUUUAACAACAACAUUUUCAUCAUUCACACAAUUCAAUCAAAUUUCAUGGGUUUAACAACAACAUUUUCAUCAUUCACACAAUUCAAUCAAAUUUCAUGGGUUUAACAACAACAUUUUCAUCAUUCACACAAUUCAAUCAAAUUUCAUGGGUUUAACAACAACAUUUUCAUCAUUCACACAAUUCAAUCAAAUUUCAUGGGUUUAACAACAACAUUUUCAUCAUUCACACAAUUCAAUCAAAUUUCAUGGGUUUAACAACAACAUUUUCAUCAUUCACACAAUUCAAUCAAAUUUCAUGGGUUUAACAACAACAUUUUCAUCAUUCACACAAUUCAAUCAAAUUUCAUGGGUUUAACAACAACAUUUUCAUCAUUCACACAAUUCAAUCAAAUUUCAUGGGUUUAACAACAACAUUUUCAUCAUUCACACAAUUCAAUCAAAUUUCAUGGGUUUAACAACAACAUUUUCAUCAUUCACACAAUUCAAUCAAAUUUCAUGGGUUUAACAACAACAUUUUCAUCAUUCACACAAUUCAAUCAAAUUUCAUGGGUUUAACAACAACAUUUUCAUCAUUCACACAAUUCAAUCAAAUUUCAUGGGUUUAACAACAACAUUUUCAUCAUUCACACAAUUCAAUCAAAUUUCAUGGGUUUAACAACAACAUUUUCAUCAUUCACACAAUUCAAUCAAAUUUCAUGGGUUUAACAACAACAUUUUCAUCAUUCACACAAUUCAAUCAAAUUUCAUGGGUUUAACAACAACAUUUUCAUCAUUCACACAAUUCAAUCAAAUUUCAUGGGUUUAACAACAACAUUUUCAUCAUUCACACAAUUCAAUCAAAUUUCAUGGGUUUAACAACAACAUUUUCAUCAUUCACACAAUUCAAUCAAAUUUCAUGGGUUUAACAACAACAUUUUCAUCAUUCACACAAUUCAAUCAAAUUUCAUGGGUUUAACAACAACAUUUUCAUCAUUCACACAAUUCAAUCAAAUUUCAUGGGUUUAACAACAACAUUUUCAUCAUUCACACAAUUCAAUCAAAUUUCAUGGGUUUAACAACAACAUUUUCAUCAUUCACACAAUUCAAUCAAAUUUCAUGGGUUUAACAACAACAUUUUCAUCAUUCACACAAUUCAAUCAAAUUUCAUGGGUUUAACAACAACAUUUUCAUCAUUCACACAAUUCAAUCAAAUUUCAUGGGUUUAACAACAACAUUUUCAUCAUUCACACAAUUCAAUCAAAUUUCAUGGGUUUAACAACAACAUUUUCAUCAUUCACACAAUUCAAUCAAAUUUCAUGGGUUUAACAACAACAUUUUCAUCAUUCACACAAUUCAAUCAAAUUUCAUGGGUUUAACAACAACAUUUUCAUCAUUCACACAAUUCAAUCAAAUUUCAUGGGUUUAACAACAACAUUUUCAUCAUUCACACAAUUCAAUCAAAUUUCAUGGGUUUAACAACAACAUUUUCAUCAUUCACACAAUUCAAUCAAAUUUCAUGGGUUUAACAACAACAUUUUCAUCAUUCACACAAUUCAAUCAAAUUUCAUGGGUUUAACAACAACAUUUUCAUCAUUCACACAAUUCAAUCAAAUUUCAUGGGUUUAACAACAACAUUUUCAUCAUUCACACAAUUCAAUCAAAUUUCAUGGGUUUAACAACAACAUUUUCAUCAUUCACACAAUUCAAUCAAAUUUCAUGGGUUUAACAACAACAUUUUCAUCAUUCACACAAUUCAAUCAAAUUUCAUGGGUUUAACAACAACAUUUUCAUCAUUCACACAAUUCAAUCAAAUUUCAUGGGUUUAACAACAACAUUUUCAUCAUUCACACAAUUCAAUCAAAUUUCAUGGGUUUAACAACAACAUUUUCAUCAUUCACACAAUUCAAUCAAAUUUCAUGGGUUUAACAACAACAUUUUCAUCAUUCACACAAUUCAAUCAAAUUUCAUGGGUUUAACAACAACAUUUUCAUCAUUCACACAAUUCAAUCAAAUUUCAUGGGUUUAACAACAACAUUUUCAUCAUUCACACAAUUCAAUCAAAUUUCAUGGGUUUAACAACAACAUUUUCAUCAUUCACACAAUUCAAUCAAAUUUCAUGGGUUUAACAACAACAUUUUCAUCAUUCACACAAUUCAAUCAAAUUUCAUGGGUUUAACAACAACAUUUUCAUCAUUCACACAAUUCAAUCAAAUUUCAUGGGUUUAACAACAACAUUUUCAUCAUUCACACAAUUCAAUCAAAUUUCAUGGGUUUAACAACAACAUUUUCAUCAUUCACACAAUUCAAUCAAAUUCCAUGGGUUUAACAACAACAUUUUCAUCAUUCACACAAUUCAAUCAAAUUUCAUGGGUUUAACAACAAAAUCUUCAUCAUUCACACAAUUCAAUCAAAUUUCAUGGGUUUAACAACAACAUUUUCAUAAUUCACAAAAUUCAUUCAAAUUUCAUGGAUUUAAUAGCAACAUUUUCAUCAUUCCCACAAUUCAAUCAAAUAUCAUGGGUUUAACAGUAACAUUUUCAUCAUUCCCACAAUUCAAUCAAAUUUCAUGGGUUUAACAAUAACAUUUUCAUCAUUCACAAAAUUCUAUCAAAUUUCAUGGGUUUAACAACAAAAUCUUCAUCAUUCACACAAUUCAAUCAAAUUUCAUGGGUUUAACAACAACAUUUUCAUAAUUCACACAAUUCACUCAAAUUUCAUGGAUUUAAUAGCAACAUUUUCAUAAUUCACACAAUUCAAUCAAAUUUCAUGGGUUUAACAACAAAAUCAUCAUCAUUCACACAAUUCAAUCAAAUUUCAUGGGUUUAACAACAACAUUUUCAUAAUUCACACAAUUCACUCAAAUUUCAUGGAUUUAAUAGCAACAUUUUCAUCAUUCACACAAUUCAAUCAAAUUUCAUGGGUUUAACAACAAAAUCAUCAUCAUUCACACAAUUCAAUCAAAUUUCAUGGGUUUAACAACAACAUUUUCAUAAUUCACAAAAUUCAUUCAAAUUUCAUGGAUUUAAUAGCAACAUUUUCAUCAUUCCCACAAUUCAAUCAAAUAUCAUGGGUUUAACAGUAACAUUUUCAUCAUUCCCACAAUUCAAUCAAAUUUCAUGGGUUUAACAAUAACAUUUUCAUCAUUCACAAAAUUCUAUCAAAUUUCAUGGGUUUAAAAAUAAAAUCUUCAUCAUUCACACAAUUAAAU